UCCAUAUGACACCAGAUAUGAUCAUUUUAUGAGGUGUGUUUAUUGUCUGAUUCUUAUGUAAUAUGUUAGUGUCUCUGGGAGACUAAACAGGUGAACUGAAACUGGGUCAAAGCACAGAACUACAAUACAUUCUAACAUUCUAACUAACUACAUAUCUCUGUCAAAUACUGAAGUGUGCUUGAUUUAGCUUGACCACGGUGCAUGUGUUGCUAGUUUGCACUUUGGACUAUCCUAAUGUUUCCUUUGUACUGGGCAAGCAAAGGCAAAACUCACUUCAAGUAUUCUUGGGUCGGCAGGGUACCCUAGUGGUUAGAGCGUUGGACUAGUGACCGAAAGGUUGCAAGUUCGAAUCCCCGAGCUGACAAGGUGGAGAAUCCAACAAUGCAGACCAUGGAUAUUGAUGAUGACACGCCUCCCAACAAGCCCAGUGUUUCAUUUUCAGAUAAUUUUCAGUGGUGGAAGAGACCUUCUGGACUUGCUGCAGUGUGUCUGGGGCUGCUGUGUGUUCUUCUAUUGGCUGGGAUCAUAGGCCUGUUUGUCUAUUAUGGAGUCAUUGAUCAUCACUACUCAACAGAGAGAGACCAACAGACCAGUUACAGCCUUCUUACUAAAGAAGGAGAUCAGCAACCCAACAGCUAUCAUAACUUGACUAAAGAGGGACAACAGCUAGAGACCAGUUACAACACCCUGACUAAAGACAGAGACCAGCUACAGACCAGUUACAACACCCUGACUAAAGACAGAGACCAGCUACAGACCAGUUACAACAACCUGACUAAAGAAAGAGACCAGCGACAGACCAUUUUCAACACCCUGACUAAAGAGAGAGACCAGCUACAGAGCAGUUACAACACCCUGACUAAAAGAGAGAGACCAGCUACAGAAUAGUCUCACCACGAGGACCAAAGACAGGACCAGCAGCAAAAUAGUCUUAAAGUCAUGACUGCUGAAAGGGAUCAAUUAAAAAAUAAUCUUAACUCACGGACAAACGAGAGAGACCAGUUGCAGAAUAGUCUAAAUACCAGGACCACUGAGAGAGACCAGCUACAGAAUAGUCUAAAUACC